UAACCUGCUAAAUAGCCAGGCUAGCUUUGGCUGGUCGCCGGCUUCUUAGAGGGACUAUCGGCUCAAGCCGAUGGAAGUUUGAGGCAAUAACAGGUCUGUGAUGCCCUAAGAUGUUCUGGGCCGCACGCGCGCUACACUGACAGAGCCAACGAGUUCUCACCUUGGCCGAAGGGUCUGGGUAAUCUUGUUAAACUCUGUCGUGCUGGGGAUAGAGCAUUGCAAUUAUUGCUCUUCAACGAGGAAUUCCUAGUAAGCGCAAGUCAUCAGCUUGCGCUGAUUACGUCCCUGCCCUUUGUACACACCGCCCGUCGCU
rnacentral:rRNA from 1 species